rnacentral:rRNA from 1 species
CGACUUACAUUCAGUGGCAAGCUUAACCGAAUAGGGAAGGCGUAGGGAAACCGAGUCCGAACAGGGCGAUUUAGUCGCUGGGUGUAGACCCGAAACCAAGUGAUCUAUCCAUGGCCAGGAUGAAGGUGCCGUAACAGGUACUGGAGGUCCGAACGACUAGUGUUGCAAAACUAGCGGAUGAGCUGUGGAUAGGGGUGAAAGGCUAAACAAACUUGGAAAUAGCUGGUUCUCUCCGAAAACUAUUUAGGUAGUGCCUCAAGUAUUACCGUCGGGGGUAGAGCACUGUUUUGGCUAGGGGGUCAUGGCGACUUACCAAACCAAUGCAAACUCCGAAUACCGACGAGUACAGCUUGGGAGACAGAGCACCGGGUGCUAACGUCCGGACUCAAGAGGGAAACAACCCAGACCGCCAGCUAAGGUCCCUAAAAUUGGCUAAGUGGGAAACGAAGUGGGAAGGCUAAAACAGUCAGGAUGUUGGCUUAGAAGCAGCCAUCAUUUAAAGAAAGCGUAAUAGCUCACUGAUCGAGUCGUCCUGCGCGGAAGAUGUAACG